rnacentral:rRNA from 1 species
UAGGGAAUCUACCACAAUGGACGAAAGUCUGAUGGAGCAACGCCGCGUGAGUGAAGAAGGGUUUCGGCUCGUAAAACUCUGUUGUUAAAGAAGAACAUAUCUGAGAGUAACUGUUCAGGUAUUGACGGUAUUUAACCAGAAAGCCACGGCUAACUACGUGCCAG